AAAGUACUCCCUCCAUCCCAAAAAUGUUGUCUUAGAUUUGUCUAGAUACAGAUGUAUCAAGUCACAUUUUAGUAUUAGAUACAUCCGUAUCUAGACAAAUCUAAGACAAGAAAUUUGGGACAGAGGGAGUAGUUG
rfam:Triticum aestivum genome assembly, contig: Triticum_aestivum_CS42_TGACv1_scaffold_177145_2DS